rnacentral:lncRNA from 1 species
CAACUACCAAAUGACAAAAUCUCCUCCCCACUCACCCACCCCUAACCCCAUCAGUAUUCAAAUUUGGGCAUAUCUGUGCCAAAUUUGGUCCAGUGAAUAAAAAUACAUCCUGCAUAUCAGAUAUUUAUUUUACAAUUCAUAGCAGUAGCAAAAUGACAGUUACGAAGUAGCAACUAAAAUAAUUGUAUGGUUGGGGGUCAGCACAACAUGAGGAACUAUAUUAAGGGGUCGCAGAAUUUGGAAGGUUGAGAACCACUGCUGUAGAAUGAAUGAAAUGUGACACCACUUUAACUGCCAUGGGUCAAUGCUAUGGAAUCCUGGGAGCUGUAGUUUCAUGAGGCAACAAUAAUGCUACAACUCCCAGUAUUCCAUAGCAUUGAGCUAUGUGUUCUUGUGGUGCCGAACUCCAUUCAUUCUACAGUGUAAAUGCACUCCAUUUAUUUUUAGCCUCUUACAAAGAUAUUUUGGGGAAAUAUCUCCAUUAGUCUAGUUAAGAAACUGAAUCUCAAGUCCUUUCCCAUCAUUUCUGUUUAAAAAUCCACAAUGUUUUGAACACCAUGUAAUAAAAUUCAAGGGAGAUUGAAAAACCAUUCUCAGAUAUUCUUGGGAGAUGAGCAGUUGAAAAACUGUUUGUUGUAAGCAAGGCAAUAAAGUGCGCUGCGAACAAACAAACUGCCUACCGGUAUCACCUGACAGAUUGCUUUUGCCAGAUAUUGUGGAAAAUAUGAAGCGUGUGGGGCGGGCUGUGAAGAGAUGAAGCUAUAACAUUUAGAGACUGAACGGAGUCCCAAUGAUUUCUUGCAGGAAGAAUCCCGAUGUUUGUUUCUCAAGAUGUUAAAACUGGAGGAAAGUUCUUUAUGGAAAACAAAACAAAACAAAAAAAAGCACCAGCCUCUGACAAAACAGUUCGAACAGAGAGAAAAUAACAACUCGAGUUAUCUUCCGACAGAAUACCUGAUGCAGAGCCAUCAAUAAAGAAAUAAUAAAACAUUUGCCACUUACCAGAAGAAGGGUUACCGAAACUGGGAUAAAACCCGGGA